UCCCUGGUGGCUCAGAUGGUAAAGAAUCUGCCUGCAAUGCAGAAGACCCAGGUUCAAUCCCUGGGUUGGGAA
rnacentral:tRNA from 1 species